rnacentral:ncRNA from 21 species
CUGUAUUUCGUGGAGUCUGGUUCUGCUUUGCGCAGAUGAAAAGAGAAACCGGUGCAAGUCCGGUGCGAUCCCGUCACUGUGAUAGGGAGCCGGCAGCAAAUAUGUCACUGGGGAUGAAAGCCCCGGGAAGGCGCUGCCUGCGAUGAACUUAAGUCAGGAGACCUGCCAGUUUUCCGUGGAGACAC